rnacentral:rRNA from 1 species
UGCAAGUCGAACGGCAGCACGGGUGCUUGCACCUGGUGGCGAGUGGCGGACGGUGAGUAAUACAUCGGAACGUAUCCUGAAGUGGGGGAUAACGCAUCGAAAGAUGUGCUAAUACCGCAUAUACUCUGGAGGAGGAAGUAGGGGAUCGAAAGACCUUAUGCUUUUGGAGCGGCCGAUGUCUGAUUAGCUAGUUGGUAAGGUAAUGGCUUACCAAGGCAACGAUCAGUAGUUGGUCUGAGAGGACGACCAGCCACACUGGGACUGAGACACGGCCCCAGACUCCUACGGGAGGCAGCAGUGGGGAAUUUUGGACAAUGGGCGCAAGCCUGAUCCAGCAAUGCCGCGUGAGUGAAGAAGGCCUUCGGGUUGUAAAGCUCUUUCAGUUGAGAAGAAAAGAUUGUAACUAAUAAUUGCAAUCCAUGACGGUAUCGACAGAAGAAGCACCGGCUAACUACGUGCCAGCAGCCGCGGUAAUACGUAGGGUGCGAGCGUUAAUCGGAAUUACUGGGC